UCAGAUGUCCUACUAACUUGAUGGCGAUGU
rnacentral:piRNA from 1 species